rnacentral:rRNA from 1 species
GCGAACGCUGGCGGCGUGCUUAACGCAUGCCAGUCGAACGGAAAGGCCCUGCUUUUGUGGGGUGCUCGAGUGGCGAACGGGUGAGUAACACGUGAGUAACCUGCCCUUGACUUUGGGAUAACUUCAGGAAACUGGGGCUAAUACCGGAUAGGAGCUCCUGCUGCAUGGUGGGGGUUGGAAAGUUUCGGCGGUUGGGGAUGGACUCGCGGCUUAUCAGCUUGUUGGUGGGGUAGUGGCUUACCAAGGCUUUGACGGGUAGCCGGCCUGAGAGGGUGACCGGCCACAUUGGGACUGAGAUACGGCCCAGACUCCUACGGGAGGCAGCAGUGGGGAAUAUUGCACAAUGGGCGGAAGCCUGAUGCAGCAACGCCGCGUGCGGGAUGACGGCCUUCGGGUUGUAAACCGCUUUCGCCUGUGACGAAGCGUGAGUGACGGUAAUGGGUAAAGAAGCACCGGCUAACUACGUG